rnacentral:rRNA from 1 species
UGAGACCGAUGCACUCUUUAGGUCGUUUCCUUCGGGUUUCGGCUGACGGGGUGCUCCGCUUUGGUGACUCUGGAUAACUCACUGGUCGAUCGCACGGGUCUCGCACCCGGCGACGG